UACGAAGGGGCUAGCGUUGUUCGGAAUUACUGGGCGUAAAGCGCACGAGGCGGAUUGUUAAGUUAGGGUGAAAUCCCAGGGCUCAACCCUGGAACUGCCUUAAUACUGGCAAUCUCGAGUCCGAGAGAGGUGAGUGGAAUUGCGAGUGUAGAGGUGAAAUUCGUAGAUAUUCGCAAGAACACCAGUGGCGAAGGCGGCUCACUGGCCCGGUACUGACGCUGAGGUGCGAAAGCGUGGGG
rnacentral:rRNA from 1 species